rnacentral:sRNA from 1 species
UUUUUUUUGCCUUUUUUUUAGUUUUUGCU